GUUCCGGUGAUUAUUCGGACUGUUUUGUGGCGCGUUCGUGCCCGAAAUGGGAAGUUUUGUGAACCUUAACACUUAGAGGAAGGAGAAGUCGUAACAAGGU
rnacentral:rRNA from 1 species